rnacentral:rRNA from 1 species
UAGGGAAUCUUCCGCAAUGGGCGAAAGCUUGACGGAGCAACGCCGCGUGAGUGAUGAAGGUCUUCGGAUCGUAAAACUCUGUUAUUAGGGAAGAACAAAUGUGUAAGUAACUAUGCACGUCUUGACGGUACCUAAUCAGAAAGCCACGGCUAACUACGUGCCAGCGGCCGCGGUAAUACGUAGGUGGCAAGCGUUAUCCGGAAUUAUUGGGCGUAAAGCGCGCGUAGGCGGUUUUUUAAGUCUGAUGUGAAAGCCCACGGCUCAACCGUGGAGGGUCAUUGGAAACUGGAAAACUUGAGUGCAGAAGAGGAAAGUGGAAUUCCAUGUGUAGCGGUGAAAUGCGCAGAGAUAUGGAGGAACACCAGUGGCGAAGGCGACUUUCUGGUCUGUAACUGACGCUGAUGUGCGAAAGCGUGGGGAUCAAACAGG